GGAGGCACACGCCAAUGUUUAUCUCCCAUGCAUACAUACAAACACAUACACACACGCACAUGUAAAGGCACACAGUAGUGCUGGGAAAAAGAUCGAUCUAGCAAACGAUAUAUCGAUGUUUCAUAUCCAUCGAAAAUAUCGAUGUAGAAAACUUCGAUACUUGAUAUAUCGCCAUCACUAUACCAUUAAUUCCCCAUCACUUGAAUUAAAAGCGUGGGAUAAGACUGUCAGGAUUUUGGAGUUGUCUCAAGCCGCAGCAAGUAGAUAUGCUGCUCUUUAUAAACAAAAAUGAUUGGACGAAGUAAAUGAUCUUAUUAAAUAAUAUAAUCUUUGUUA